UACAGAGGCCUCAAGCGUUGUUCGGAUUUACUGGGCGUAAAGGGAAUGUAGGUGGUUUGGUAAGUCAGAUGUGAAAGCCCCGGGCUUAACCUGGGAAUGGCAUUUGAUACUGCUAGGCUAGAGUGCGAGAGAGGAAAGCGGAAUUCCGUGGUGUAGGGGUGAAAUCCGUAGAUAUCAGGAGGAAUACCGGAUGGCGAAGGCAGCUU
rnacentral:rRNA from 1 species